UUAAAGUAACAGAGUCUAAUUUAUCUUUGAUAUAUGACUUAAUUUAGGGUAUAAAGACUGAUAAUACAGAAGAAAAGGAAAUACACCUGUAAAUUAAUCAUUUUAAUAAGUGUUAUAAUAACGCACAACUAACAAGGUGAAGCUGCAGCAUAGUUAAUACCGGACUGCUGUAUUUUAAGUGUUUCCUUUUAAAUCUCAUAUUUUUAAAUUAAACAUUUCCAUUCAAAAACCAUUUAUAAGUGGAUUACUUAUUCCGCAUUACAUGAUGCAUUGCUUAAUACUAUGCAUUUCUGUGAUGCAUUACUUGAUAAUCAAAUUUUAGUACUUUGUUACAGCGGCUUCGAUCAUGUUUAGUGAUUUUAGAUUUGUGCCGAGAUUUCAACUAUAAUUUCUCCAUGCUCAUGAAAUGUGAAUGUAAAAAUAAACAACAGAUUAUAUAUUACAAAAAUACUCAUAAGCAUGUUUUUUAAAAAUCUUUGUUAUUAUUAUUUUCUCUCAUGUAAUUAUUCCAGUAAACUGCAGCUCCUGUUCAGCUGUUCAACUGCAGCACUUAUUGAGCUGUCACCCAUAUUAAGUUGUUUGUUAUACAGUUUCAUGGACAUCAGCUCCUCUGCCCAAGAAUUCCUAAAUCUAAUAGCAGUGACAAAUAAUAUUCUGGAACUACUGAACAAAUUUUCAAUGUGGAGGCCCUUCUUCUUUUUGCAAUUUUUAACAUUGCAUCUCCAAAUGGUUUCAUCGUUAACAUAAAAUUUCAUGUUGUGGCCAUUUUUGCAUACUCGUUUAUCAGUCAUUGCAGGAAUCUAACUCAAAUUUAGGUCUUGAGUGGUGAAAGUGCUACUUGUUGAAGAGUAUGAUUAUUAUGGUAUCUAUCGUGACUUGUCGAUGAACUUUGUAAAUCAAAAUGGAGCCACAAGAACUGUUGAAAAUUUGGCUCAGGGUGCUUUUACUGGUGGUUAAGCGUUAUGCACCAAAAUUUAUAACCUUGCAUUGCCAAGAAGUUGAAGGUAAAAACACUAAAGAAUCUAUGAGGCAUGUUGAAGAAUUCUUAAGGUAAAUGAGUUCUUAAUUUAUUGUAUAUAUUUAAUUUUGCAGGUAUAAAAUUAGAUUGUUUCAUUACUAAUAUAAUAGGUUUUUAAAAUUAAAAAAUUGACAAAUUAUUCUUGAUAAAUGAACAUUUAAUACUCACAUGUACACAAAUGCAUACGCACAUAAAAACCAUGUCCAGAAAAGUGAUUACACAGCCUUUAUUUUCACAACUGUUAAUCAAGGAUAUCUACUUCCAGUUACAAAAAAAAGUUUUAAAUAACAUGAAUAUUCAUGCUUUAGCCCACCCUUUUUUUUUCUUUUUUUGUUCAAAAAAUUGAAUUUUGCAAAUGAUACAAAAUGUAUUUUUUAUGCAGUUCCCUGGGGCCUGUAAUUCUUACAUUCAGGAAAUUUAUAUCCCUGUUAUGAAAAAUAAAACACAAGCUUAACUUCCAAUAUGACAAAAAUUGUCUAAGAUAUUUAAUUUCAAAAUUUGGGAUUUUUGGCAUCAUUGUCAAUUUGCCUUGAGAUGCCUUAUUAAUAAAUAUAUUAGAAUAAUUUGAGGUGAUUUUUUUCCUUCGGAAAUGUCAUUCAGUGGUAUUCUUUUGUGGUUUACUAGAGGGUAACCUACUUUAAUUUUCAAUUUUGAUCCAUAUUGUAUGCUGAAUGAAUUAUCUAAUUAAUUGAUAAGCUUUCAAAUGCUGAGAGGAUCUCAUUAAUUAUGAAGUUUUAUUAUUUUAGAAUCAUGAUAUAAUAUUCAUACAAUGAAAGUCAAACUAGAAAUAUUUUUCAUUUUUAAAUUAUUCAAACAGUGCUACGAGUUGGCUGUUUGUCAAUACUAAAGUCUUCCAGUGUUUUCUAGUACAGGGGUUCUGUAAGAUUUUGUAAAUAAAAUUUCAUUUUUGAAAAGCAUUAUGUUGAAUAAUACUUAUAACAAUUUGCAUAGAGUGCUUAUCAGUUAAUCUGUUGGGUCAUCUAAAAUUUUCUGAUGAUAAAUACAAAUGAAACUGAGCAGAAACAUAGGAAACCUACAUUGAACUUUUUAGCAUCAUUUUAUUCCGAGUUUUUGCCCCUAUAAUUUUUGUUUUGGUUCUGUGACAUCUCUCAAGCACCUGAAAAAUUUACAUUUUAAAAAGUCAUUAGGAUCAUUCUUAAAAGAAGUUAUUGACAUGUUGUUAAAUAAUGUAAAAAAAAAAAAAAAAAAAAAAAA